AAUGAAGGAACAAAGGCUAAGAACGUCACGUCCUGUGACAAAGCCUUUGUGACCUGCAUCGUGCAGC
rnacentral:sRNA from 1 species